GAUAUUUUAUAUUGUUUCUCCUCUUGUUGCAUCCUUUAAAAGGAGAAACAAUGCAACAAGAGGAGAAACAAUGUAAAUAUUUCUUAAAGGAUACUGUUUACAUCUCAGAGAUUAUAAGAAAAGAAGAAACAGUGUAAAUAUCUCUCAAAUAGUAUAACUUUCGUUUAAAGAGUGUAACUUUCAUAUUAAAGGAUGCAGUUUAUAUCUCAAAGAGUACAAUAAGAAAAAAAUAGUGUAAAUAUUUUCUAAAGACUAUAAUUUUUGUUUAA
rnacentral:lncRNA from 1 species